rnacentral:rRNA from 1 species
UACGGGGGGGGCAAGCGUUGUUCGGAAUUACUGGGCGUAAAGGGCUCGUAGGCGGCCAACUAAGUCGGAUGUGAAAUCCCCAAGCUUAACUUGGGAACUGCAUCCGAUACUGGAUGGCUUGAAUCCGGGAGAGGGAUGCAGAAUUCCAGGUGUAGCGGUGAAAUGCGUAGAUAUCUGGAGGAUACCGGUGGCGAAGGCGGCAUCCUGGACCGGCAUUGACGCUGAGGAGCGAAAGCUAGGGGAGCAAACGGG